rnacentral:rRNA from 1 species
GAUGAACGCUGGCGGCGUGCCUAAUACAUGCAAGUCGAGCGGUAAGGCCACUUCGGUGGUACACGAGCGGCGGACGGCUGAGUAACACGUAGGAACGUACCCCAAACUGAGGGAUAAGCACCGGAAACGGUGUCUAAUACCGCAUGUGCUCUUCGGAGUAAAGCUACGGCGGUUUGGGAACGGCCUGCGCAUGAUUAGCUAGUUGGUGAGGUAAUGGCUCACCAAGGCGACGAUCAUUAGCUGGUCUGAGAGGAUGAUCAGCCAGACUGGGACUGAGAAUGGCCCAGACUCCUACGGGAGGCAGCAGUAGGGAAUUUUCCACAAUGGGGGCAACCCUGAUGGAGCAACGCCGCGUGCAGGAUGAAGGCUUUCGGGUCGUAAACUGCUUUUAUCUGUGAAGAUUAUGACGGUAGCAGAUGAAUAAGGAUCGGCUAACUCCGUGCCAGCCGCCGCGGUAA